UCUCCGUAGGUGAACCAGCGGAGGGGUCAUUACCGAGUGCAAACUCAUAACCCUUUGUGAACCUAUAUCUGUUGCUUCGGCGGCUCGCUCUCGGGCGAGCCCGCCGGUAAUAUCAGUAUCUCUGUUUGAACCCGACGAUACUUCUGAGUGUUCUUAGCGAACAGUUAAAACUUUUAACAACGGAUCUCUUGGCUCUA
rnacentral:misc_RNA from 1 species